UAGGGAAUCUUCGGCAAUGGACGAAAGUCUGACCGAGCAACGCCGCGUGAGUGAAGAAGGUUUUCGGAUCGUAAAACUCUGUUGUUAGAGAAGAACAAGGACGUUAGUAACUGAACGUCCCCUGACGGUAUCUAACCAGAAAGCCACGGCUAACUACGUGCCAGCAGCCGCGGUAAUACGUAGGUGGCAAGCGUUGUCCGGAUUUAUUGGGCGUAAAGCGAGCGCAGGCGGUUUCUUAAGUCUGAUGUGAAAGCCCCCGGCUCAACCGGGGAGGGUCAUUGGAAACUGGGAGGCUUGAGUGCAGAAGAGGAGAGUGGAAUUCCAUGUGUAGCGGUGAAAUGCGUAGAUAUAUGGAGGAGCGCCAGUGGCGAAGGCGGCUCUCUGGUCUGUAACUGACGAUGAGGCUCGAAAGCGUGGGGAGCAAACAGG
rnacentral:rRNA from 1 species